AUUGAACGCUGGCGGCAUGCUUUACACAUGCAAGUCGAACGGUAACAGGCCGCAAGGUGCUGACGAGUGGCGAACGGGUGAGUAAUGCAUCGGAACGUGCCCAGUCGUGGGGGAUAACGCAGCGAAAGCUGCGCUAAUACCGCAUACGAUCUAUGGAUGAAAGCGGGGGACCGUAAGGCCUCGCGCGAUUGGAGCGGCCGAUGUCAGAUUAGGUAGUUGGUGGGGUAAAGGCUAACCAAGCCAACGAUCUGUAGCUGGUCUGAGAGGACGACCAGCCACACGGGGACUGAGACACGGCACAGACUCCUACGGGAGGCAGCAGUGGGGAAUUUUGGACAAUGGGCGCAAGCCUGAUACAGCAAUGCCGCGUGCAGGAAGAAGGCCUUCGGGUUGUAAACUGCUUUUGUACGGAACGAAACGGCUCUCUCUAAUACAGGGGGCUAAUGACGGUACCGUAAGAAUAAGCACCGGCUAACUACGUGCCAGCAGCCGCGGUAAAAC
rnacentral:rRNA from 1 species